rnacentral:lncRNA from 1 species
CGGUCUCUUGCUUCAGCCUUCUGAGUGUCAGGAUUACAGACAUGAGCUACCACAGCCACCAGCUCGCUCUCUCUCUCUCUCUCUCUCUCUCUCUCUCUCUCUCUCUCUCUCUCGAUGUCUGUCUGUCUGUCUGUGUGUGUCUGGGUCUCCCUGUCUCUGCUCUCCUCUGUCUCCUCCUCCUCUCUCUGUUUCUGUCUCUCUUAAACUCACACACACAUACACACACACAAACACACACACAAUCUCUGCUUUCUUUUCCUCCCCUCCCCUCCUGGCUGUGGUGCCAUAUUAGGGUCCAUCUUUGGCUCUUGGUUCUGUCCAGUCCAUCUACUCUUCCAGGACCAUUGUUUCCAAGACCACAGAUUCAGUGGUGAUGUGCUUAUCACUGCCUAUGUGGCUAGCAGGUUCCAGGCUGAGCUAUGUGUAUGUUUCACAAGCUCACACUAGAGAUAGGAUCUGCCACCUUCCAUAUUCCUUUCUUUAUAAAGGAAGCCCAUCUUGGUGGCAGACACUGUUGACCCCACCGUCUCUCAAGACUGAAAAUGGGCACAAGCUUGCAGGAGUCAGCGUCACUUUUGUUUUCUGUCUGACAGGGAGGGGUCUCUGGACACUUUCUCUGAGUUUACAGGGUCCCUGACCACUAGGGAUUUGUUUCCACAUGAAACCCCUGGAAGACGCUUGGGGAAUACUCCAGUAGACUGACCAAACAUCCUUAUAUUCCCAGCAGAUUGGUGACCAAUGUCUCUUGCAGUGUCAGAAAUGCCCCCCCCCCCCACACACACACAGAGAGAGAGAGAGAGAGAGAGAGAGAGAGAGUAGAUAUCUGGGGGAUGCAGAGAAACCCUUCUUUUCCUAGGUUGCUUGUCUCCUGUGAUUACCUCCACCUGGGUCACUUCCUGAGACAGGUCCUUCAUUACCGAGUCUUGCUGAGACUUGAUCUUGGUGACUAUCUCCACAAAGAUUCGGCCACGGUAAGCUAAACCAUGCUGGACAGCAUCCAUGAUGCACUGGAGCAACAGAGAGAAAGGGCUGAUCAAAAAAAGAGUGAACAGAUCACCCUGGAGCCCACACAGCAAAGGUAAGACUAUGUAGGGACAGCCUGCUUGGGGAUGGCUCCACCCACAGCCCUGCUAAAGAAUUCCAGGAUGCCUCAACGCAGAAAAGUGCCCCUCUUGUUUAGGAGUUCAUUCUGCCGGCUAACCUGGAGGAACUUGAACUAUACAAAUGUUCGGAGCUUGGAGGGGGUGGUUCCCAACCAGGCCAGUCAAUGUAUGUUCUGCCUCUGUGUUGAAAGUAAUCCAGAUAUCUACUGUGUGUGUGUGAGGGGGGCAUUUCUGACACUACAAGAGACAUUGGUCACCAAUCUGUUAGGAAUAUAAGAAUGCUUAGUCAGGGGCUGGAGAGAUGGCUCAGCGGUUAAGAGCACUGACUGCUCUUCCAGAGGUCCUGAGUUCAAUUCCCAGCAACAACGUGGUGGCUCACAACCAUCUGUAAUGGGAUCUGAUGCUCUCUUCUGGUGUGUCUAAAGACAGCAACAGUGUACUCACAAACAUGAAAUAAAUAAAUAAAUCUUUAAAAAAAAAAAAAAAGAAUGCUUAGUCUACUGGAGUAUUCCCCCAAGAGUCUCCCAGGGGUUUCAUGUGGAGCCAAAUCCCUAGUAGUCAGGCACCCUGUAAACUCAGAGACAGUGUCCAGAGACCCCUGUCAGACAGGUCCAAGAAGAUCACAGAAGCCCAGAAAAGACCAACUAGGGGGAUCACCUGGCCUUAUGGGCAAAUUCCCUGCAAGGGUUGACUGGUGGGAGACAAAGGCUGAGGAGCCAGGGAGUGACAUAGAAGACAAGACAAAGCUUGUGACAACUCAGGGCUCCUCUCACAAACUCCCUUCCAGCCUUAUUAAGCAGCCCUACACGCUUUCUUCUAUUUAUCUUAUUUUAUGUAUGUGUUGAGGGAGUGGGGUGUGCCAUGGCAUGAGUUGGGUCAGAGGACAGCUGCUCAGAGUUGGUUCUGUCCUUUCACCGUAUGGGUUCCAAUAUCGGACACAGGUCACAGGUGUGGUGGCAGGAAGCAUCUUUACUGGUUGAGCCAUAUUGCCAGCCUCCCUCCACCCCCGCCCUUUUAAAGGUAAGACACUGCUGUGUAGUCCAGCUGGCUUCAGACUCUUCUGAUCUUCCCGAAUCAGACCUCUUGCAUGCUCUUGUUUAAGCCAAUUUGAGUUGGGUUUCCAGCACUAAUCAGCAAUCUUGAACAACCCUGUAUUUUUUUUUUAACCUGGUGUGCUUUUCCUAUUUGUGGGAAACCCACCAAAGUUUUCAUCUUCAGUGUUCCUUAACGACUAGCUAAAGCAUCCCUUUUAUCCUUUUCUGGUACCAUGGAUUAGGACUCUUGUGUUCAUGGCUAUUUAUAUACCCAUACCCACCCUCUUCUGGAAGGAGGAAGUCAGAGGCCAGGCAGAGUCCUCCCUGGACAUUUCUAAUCCCCUGGUGCUUCACUCACAGUCAACCUAACCUCUACUGCCCCACAUCCCGCAAGCUGACAGGACAAACUUACAGUGCCUUCCUCUGAGGUCCUGAAAGGGGGCUUCUUGCCCCCACGGAGAGUCAGGAAGCUGGGGCCAAAGCAGGGCAGGAAGCCAGAGUACAUCCCUGGAAGGAGAUAGAGUGAACUCAGGGGCUUGGUUGGGAGAGAUGCGAAAGGAGGGGGCCCAGGGAGGGAGGGGUCCCAGGAUUUGCUUGCCUUGGAUCUCCUCGCCGGUGGACGAGAUCUGGCUGAGGCACAAGCUGGCUGACCCAAUCUCAUCCUGACAUUUGUAUUUGGAGCUGGGAAACACACUGCAGGCUGAGCCCCAGCCCGGCUCUGCCUCUUCCUCCCCAGAGCAUGGAUCUGCCUCUAGCCCGUUUACUCACCAGUCCAUGACUCUGAAUUUGAUGUAGCUAGAGAGGCAGGGUAGCUGCAAGGGAAGACAGGUGGCAUUGGGGUGAAGGUACACUAGUGUGGCGUGGUCCUCAGGACCUUGCAAGCAGUUGGGAGGGUCUGCCUCAAUCACACACAAGCCAAAUUUAUCACUGUUUUUGGCUCCCAAGCUUCCCACAUAUGGGGGCUGCUGGCAAGGCCCUGGAAUGGUAUAACAUCGUGUUGUGUUCAUUUGGUUUGUAUGAUUUAUUUUGUGUAGAUGAGUGUUUGCCUGUGUCUGCAUAAGUACACCAUGUGUAUGUCUGAUGAAGGCAUUAGAUGCCCCAGAACUGAAGUUACAGGCUGUUGUGAGCCUCCACAUAGAUAUUUGAAGUUGAAAUUAGGUCCUCUGCAAUAGGGACAAGAGUUCUCGACAACCGAGCCAUCUAUCCAGACCCUGUCUUAUAUUUUUGAUAUUAAUAUGGACCCCAGUUUGUUGAAAUUUCAGGGCUGGGGCUGUUGAGAUGGCUCAGUGGGUAAAAGGGGAUUGGUGUGCAAGCCCAAUGACCUGAGCUCAACCUCUUGGAAGAGACAGCUCCUUCAAGCUGAAAUUUGACCUCCACACCUGUACCCUUGGCACAUGCAUUUCCCCACACAUGUACAAUAUCAUGGGUAUCCUGGGAUCUGAACCCAGGUCCUCGGUAAGAGCAGCACAUGCUCUUUUUAUUCAUUAAUUUAUUCACUUUACAUCCCGAUGGUGGUCUGCCUUCUUCCUCCCCUCCCAGUCCCACCCUCCCACCUCUCUUUUUCCCCUCCCCUCUCCCCCAGGUAACAACCCACUCUGGCACAUCAAGUCUCAUCAGACUAAGUGCAUCCUUUCUCACAGAGGUCAGACAAGGUAGCCUAGCUAGGAGAAAGGGAUCCAAAGGCAGGCAACAGAGUCUGAGUCAGAGAUAGCCUCCAUCCCCAGUUGUUGGGGGACCCACAUGAAGACCAAGCUGCACAUCUGUUCCACGUGUGUAUGGGACCUAGGUGUAGUCUGUACAUGAUCUUUGGUUGGUAGUUCAGUCUCUAGGAUCUCUGUGGGACUAGGUUAGUUGACUCUGUAGGUCUUAUGGUGUCCUUGACCAUUAAAUCAUCUCUGCAGUUUGUCUGUGAUUUCUUCGUGUGGGUGAAAGUAUACAUCUAAUCUCUAGAAUUCGGUUGUAUGGCCUUUUACUGUUCUCUACUGGACUGAGUAUCUUAUCCUGGGCUUCCCUUUGUUUUGCUAUAUUGUGGGUUUCCUCUUUUGCUGUGCUCAGUUCACCCUAACUUCCAUCCACACCAACACUAACACCAGACUGUCCCUUUUGAAUGCAACGAACAGGAGGGAGGGCAUGAUGGAGUAGCCAUACCUGAAUCUGGAAGGUGAGGAUUUGGUUCCAUAUUGGGUUGUCGGACGGGUUCUGUGGUUUUGUCCUGAGCUGAGAACAUCCCGAGGCUUAGUCAGUGCUAGCAGGAGCUACUGGCCCUCCCUUCCCACCUCCUUGUCCAGUCCACUUCCUGCAGUGCCUAGAUGGAUGGGCCGAUUCUUAACCCUUGGCCUAAAGUUACCCUCAGACAAUAAUUCCGCAAGAGCCCCAGCUCCAUUCCCUUCAUUAUCUUAAAACGUUUGCCUCCAUACCUUUUUAAAGCAGUGUUGGGGGCUGAAAACCCUCAGUUUUGCACAUGCUAGGAAUGUGUAGUUUAUUUUUGUUUUAUGUGUUUUUGGGGGGUGUUCUUUUCCCUACUUACUUAUGGAUGUUUUACCCAAUUGUGUGUCUGUGCAUCCCAUGAUGCCUGGUGCCAGAGGAGGUCAGGAAAGGGUGUUAGUACUCCUCUAGAACUGUAGUUACAGAUGGUUGUGAGUCACCACACUGAUGCUGGUAAUGAACCUAAGUCCUCUAGAAGAGCAGCCAGUACGCUUGACUUCCAAGCCAGCCCUAACUUUGUUUUGCUUUGAGGCAGGGUUUCACUAAGUAGCCCUGACUGGCCUAGAACUCAGUACUGACCAGGCUCUGGCUUGGCAUUGGCAGUGAUCUUCCCACCUCCCAGCUAGCACUGCCAACUCUUUUACAUGAGGCAUAUAAAAAGGUUUUGUUAGAUCAGUUCCAAUAGAAAAAAAUGGCCAAAAAAAAACCAUGGCUGGUGUCAGUAGCAGCUCCUCCCCCCUCCCCCCUUUAAAACUGAGGCACGUCUCAUAUAGUCGAGGCUAGCCUCUAAUUCCUGGUCCUCCUGCCUCUUCCUCCAAAGCGCUGGGGUUAUAGGUGUAUACUAUAUAUCAUAUGUCUAGCAUACAUUCUAUUUGUAUUGUAUUUUAUUGAGAUGGGGUAUCACUAUGUAGCCCUGGCUGACCUGGAACUCAUUAUAUGUAGACCAGGCUGGCCUCGGACUAGGGUUCUGCUCUUUCCCCUCUUUCUUCCUAUACAUUGUUUUUCCUAGGUGCCACUUUCUCUAGAUCUCAGACCCUUUCUGUACCUACCUUGUCCCCAAUCAGCUCCACCUCCAACACAGGAGUGGCUGACUUGUGGGUGCCUAGAACAGGAGAUAAAAGGACUUCUGAGACAGACACAUCUAUUUUUAUGGAGGGGUCAGGAAAACGAAAUGGGGGGGGUCUGAACAAUUUUUAAUCUGCCACCACCUCCCACUUUUAGCUUGGUUUCCAUUUUACACAAUAGUUCCAGGGUAUGUACAUGUCGUGUGUGUGUGUGUGUGUGUGUGUGUGUGUGUGUGUGUACAUGUGUGUGUGUGUGUGUGUACAUGUGUGUGUGUGUGUGUGUACAUGUGUGCAUACGGGAUGUCUUAGAAAGCCCAAGACUGCUUCUAGACACCAAGACCAAGUCAAUGGCUUGGAGCCUUGAAAAUGUAUCUUGGAAACUAUAUGCCAGGCGGUGGUGGCACACGACUUUAUUUAUCAACACUUGGGAGACAGAGGCAAGCAGAUCUCUGAGUUAGAAGCCAGCCUGGUCUACAAAGCAAGUUUCAGGACAACCCAGACUACAAAGAGAAACCCUGUUGCAGAGAGCCGUGGAGUUUCCCCCUCCUCUCCCUUCCCACAGGCUCUAACCGAAAUGGAGAUCCUCUGCACAGUAGAUGAAGAACUGCAAGUAAGCCAGACUGACUGGAACUUCUUUUGACUUGAAGAUCUGGACCCGGGUGUUUUGCUCAUAGGGCAGCUUUUGAUCUACCUGCAGAUGCCAGAGAAGUGGACAGGGUCAGGCUCAGAGGCAGGGAGGGCUCAGCCAAGUUCACCCACUAUUGACUUUCCCGACUUUCCAUGUGAUGCAGGGAGAGCGGACAACCCUUUAUGGCACACCGAACAAAGGUGGUAUAGGCCAAUGGCCACUUGGAAGGCUCAGAGGUCCCCAGGGAGGCAGCCACAUAAGCUAUAUUACUGGGGAUUGAGAAGAAGGUGGCAGCCUCACCAGCGCCUGAUCCCCUACACCGAGGGCACAGAUGGUGACUUUCAAGUAGCCUCUGACUCCACUGGUGGUCUUAUUUCGCUGACAGAGGCCUAACCAUUUCCUCAGGAGUGUGUGACCUGGGGAGGCAGAGCCAAUGUGAGACCCUCCAGUCUGUUUGUCUCUCUCUCUCUCCCCACCUCUCUCUCUCUCCUGAAAUAGCCUUUGUUUCCAGGGAAAACAGGGCAAGUGGUGUCUCACAUGCACCAGCUCUCACCCAGUGGUAGAGAAGGACAGAAGUCCCCUCUACUACACAAGGAUGGUACGCUAACAAGGCUGCUAGUACCUCUGGGAAAGGAGAGUCCUCUUUCCACCCUGGCCUGAUGCCAGACAUACGGAGGCAAACAUCUCUCCACCCCCAGAUCCAGUGUCAACCUGGAAUGUAUGUGAUGGCCGGAUCACAGUAGAAUUCCCCACUAUGGUCUCAAUCUCUUGUAGACUAGUGGGUACCAGAGCUAGGAUGGACAGGAUGCAGGAGAAGAGAGGAAGGAUGUUAGUGGGCACAGGAUGCAGUGGGAUAGGAAGGGAUGGGAAUGGGAUCUCUACAGCAAAGUAAUGGUGGGUGACAGUAAUUGUGUGUUUCAACAUGAGAGCGAGGAUAUUGAACAUUCUCAAUACAAAGAGAUGAGAGCAAGUGGGAGGCCAGCCUAGAUAUAUAUGAGAUCUUGUCUCAAAAAAAAAAAAAAAAAAAAAAAAAAACCAAACCCAAAACCAGAGAGGGCUCGGCCUUAAACAAGACAUCCCACUCCUCUCAUGUUCUCUUGAAAGGUCAAAAGAUCUUGCGGAAGACAGGCAGGAAGGGACCGAGGAUAGGGAGGCGGGCUGAGAACGCCAUCCACCGGGCACAAUGCAACCAUUAUGAUCGUGACCUCACAGCGGUGGUGGAGGUUACCAGCUCUGAGCCUGCCGAAGGCUGGCCCUAGUAACAGUCAGUCACAGAUGGAGGAGGAGCUCAUGGCUCCCUAUCUGUCACUGCUGAACUACUGGCUGUUGAUACACUUUAGGACAUGUGGAGUCACUGUCUUUAGUUGAAUAUCUACCAUUGAGCCCACCAGGCUCCAACGGGUAACUCUAAACCCAUGGUCACACAGAUGGCCCUGGUUAAACUCAGUGGAUCACACACGCACGCACACACACACACACACACACACACACACACACACACACACACACACACACAUGUAAAUAUGAGAAAUGUUUAUAGGGACAUGUACUGGAUGGUUUUGUGUCAACUUGACACAAGCUAGAGACAGCAUAGAGAAAGGAGCUUCAGUUGAGGAAAUGCCUCCAUGAGAUCCAGCUGUAAGGCAUUUUCUGUUAGUGAUUAGUGGGGAAGGGCCCAGCCUAUUUUGAGUGGUGGCAUCCCUGGGCUGGUGGUCCUGGGUUCUAUAAGAAAGCAGAGUGAGCAAACCAGUAAGCAGCACCCCUCCAUGACCUCUACCAGCCUCAGCUCCUGCCUCCAGCUUCCUGCCUUGUGUGAGUUCCUGUCCUGACUUCCUUGAAUAAUGAACAGUGAUGUGGGAAUGUAAGCCAAAGAAACCUUUUCCUCCCCAACUUGCUUUUUGGGAAUGGUGUUUCAUUGAAGCAAUAGAAACCUUAGCUAAGACAGUGUGGGAUAGGGGUAGAAAAGGGUGGGAGAGAGAUAAGAAGGUUGGGUUGAGAAAAUACUCAGCAAGCGUGUGUGUGUGUGUGUGUGUGUGUGUGUGUGUGUGUGUGUGUGUAAAAAUGCCAAAAACCACAUUUAAUUAGCUUAUAUCUAUCUAUCUAUCUAUCUAUUAACAUUAUCUAUAUUAGAAUAAUAUGCUUAAAAAGAGCACAGUAUGGGGCAUGUGCCCAUGAUCCUAGGACUUGGAGUCUGGUUCAUGCAUUCCAGGCUAGCCAGCUUCAAGAAAAACAACAGCCGGGUGUUGGUAGAGCAUGCCUUUAAUCCCAGCACUCAAGAGGCAGAGGCAGGUGGAUUUCUGAAUUCGAGGCCAGCCUGGUCUACAGAGUGAGUGCCAGGACAGCCAGGGCUACACAGAGAAACCCUGUCUCGAAAACAAAACAAAACAAAAAACAACAAAAAAAGAAAAACAACAAAGCUGUUACUGGCUUUAGAAAUUAGAACUAUAACUUAAGAGGUCAAUACAAACUGAGCAUUUGACUUCCCCCUCCCCAGGUGUUGAACCAUUCAGGGAAAGAUGCUAUUAGUACAGGUCAUGAUGAAACACACCACAAAGUAAGUAACUAUUUCCAAGCAGGCAGCUACUUUGUGAUAUCUUCUCCCUAUGUAGUGGCGAUUCUGAGGGAUUUUUUAACUCUUAGUCUUUUUCCCAGAAGGCUCAAAUGUUUGCAUUAUCUGUCACCUACCUGGGGAAUGGUAGAUAAACCCAAUGUCUGUCUGAAAAAGAGUAAAAUGAAGAUUAGCUUGGGUUGAUUUCUGUUCUUGUUUUUGUUUUCAGAUGCGUUUUCACUGUUCAGCUCUGGCUGUCAUGGAUCGUACAACAUUGACCAGGCUGGCUUUGAACUCACAAGAGAUCCUCCUCCCAGUGCUGGGAUUAAAGGCAUUAGCACCAUGCCCACAAUUGGGAAGCUGAGGCAGGAAGAUGGCCGUGAGAUCGAGGCUAGCCUGAACUACAUAGUGAGUUCUUGACCACUUUGGACUAUGCCACAGAAUCUUCCCCCCCUCCCCGCCCCCCAAUCUGUCCUCAAAGGCAUCAAUCUCUUUCUGGAGUUCUUCAGCACUUAGGGUGACCUUCUUGGACCCAUGAAUGGGAGCUGAGACUUGUCCAGUGUCUAUAGCACAUGACGGUUUGAUGUUGUUGCCCAGGAGCUGUCGGGCUUCAAACACCUUCACCCGGACCUACAGAGGGGACACCCAAUAGAUCUGAUCAUGGGAGUGUGGAUUUCCCUCCUCCAAAGGGGACUCUUCUCUCAAAAGCAAACCUUUCAAGAAAACGCAGAGGGAGAACGUCUCUGCCCCGGGAGUCGCGCGCGCUUUCCGCGUUCCCCACAGGUUAG